UAGUUCAAUGGUGAGCAGUGGAGCCGAGGU
rnacentral:piRNA from 1 species